rnacentral:tRNA from 1 species
GGUUCCAUAGUGCAGUGGUCUAGCACGUCCAGCUAUCAUCUGGAAGACCCGCGUUCGAGUCGCGGUGGAACCA